rnacentral:lncRNA from 1 species
AUGAAAUGGCAAGUUAGGCAGGACUAGGAGUCAAAGAGGAUUCUGGGAAAUGUAGUAGAGAAGUGCUGAUCCAGACAGGAAAUGACAUAGCAAGGAGACUCAUUUAAGCGAAGGAGAAACAGGAAGGGCCCCUUUUUUCCCAUUUGCCUCCUCCAGCAGCAGGAUGUGAUCCACCGGCAAGGAGGGACGCCAACAAGGCGUCCGAUAAGAUAAGUCUUAUAAAAUAUAUAGAUGUAUGAUAAUUGAGACUGAGCUAACAGAUGAGAAUCCUAGUCAUUGGCCAAGCAGCAUUGUACCUAAUACAAGUUUCUGUGUAUUCAUUUGGGCCUAACUCAGGCAGGCGGCUGGUGUAUAGCUCACACGUGGCGGUGGGGCUCAGGCAGCUUUUGCCAGAAAGAUUUAUCGUAACACAGGCUAGUCUUGAACAGUGAUUCUCCUGUCUCAGUCCUCCAGAUGCUGGGAUUACAGGCCUGAGCUACCAAGUCCCCCUAAGAGUUGGUUUUCUAAGAAGGGCAGGGUUCUUUCUUCCUACUGUUGGGCCAUGGCGGAAACUGCUCAGACUUCCAGUUCAGCCCCAGGAGUCCCAGUCUUGUGUCCUCCGGGUGUGUGGACUCAGAUGCCUCUGCCCUUCUGAGCCCCAGACUCAGCAUCCAUGUAACAAGGACAAUUUCCAUGUUGUUGAGAAGAAAAUGAAGAGAGAAAGCUUCACCAUCCUUCCAGAUCUCCUCAGAUGGGGCCACAUGCCUGCAACAGAAAUAGUCCCCAGUGGGGCAUCAAGGCUGCCGGGAGAUGAAGCCCACUUAUCCCACAUGCUGCCCAGAGUAAAACACAUACAAUUGGUGAUUGGUGUGUCAUCUCCUAA